rnacentral:rRNA from 1 species
GCAGUCGACGGGAAGGUUUCUUUCGGGGAACUGGAGAGUGGCGCACGGGUGAGUAACACGUAACUGAUCUGCCCUUUAGACUGGGAUAACCUUUGGAAACAGAGGCUAAUACCGGAUGUUCUGACGGUAGUUAGAGAGCCGUGAGUAAAGGUUUAGGCGCUAAGGGAUGAGGUUGCGGACCAUCAGCUAGUUGGUGAGGUAAAGGCUUACCAAGGCGAUGACGGUUAGGGGACCUGAGAGGGUGGCCCCCCACACUGGGACUGAGACACGGCCCAGACUCCUACGGGAGGCAGCAGUAAGGGAUAUUGCACAAUGGACGGAAGUCUGAUGCAGCGACGCCGCGUGGGUGAAGAAGGUUUUCGGAUCGUAAAGCCCUUUUCUAUGUGACGAGAGAGGACGGUAGCAUAGGAAUAAGUGUCGGCUAACUACGUGCCAGCAGCCGCGGUAAAACGUAGGACGCGAACGUUAUCCGGAGUUACUGGGCGUAAAGCGCGCGUAGGCGGUUAUUUAAGUUACCUAUGAAAGAUACAGGCUAAACUUGUAUUGGUUAGGUAAAACUGGAUAACUAGAGAGAAAUAGAGGGAAGUAGAAUUCCGGGUGUAGUGGUGAAAUGCGUAGAUAUCCGGAGGAAUACCAGUGGCGAAGGCGGCUUCCUGGAUUUCCACUGACGCUGACGCGCGAAAGCGUGGGUAGCGAACGGGAUUAGAAACCCCGGUAGUCCACGCCGUAAACAAUGUACAUUAGCGUUCGGUUACGCAAGUAAUUGAGUGUCGCAGCAAACGCGAUAAAUGUACCGCCUGGGGAGUACGGUCGCAAGGCUAACUCA